GACGAACGCUGGCGGCGUGCCUAAUACAUGCAAGUAGAACGCUGAAGGAGGAGCUUGCUUCUCUGGAUGAGUUGCGAACGGGUGAGUAACGCGUAGGUAACCUGCCUGGUAGCGGGGGAUAACUAUUGGAAACGAUAGCUAAUACCGCAUAAGAGUAGAUGUUGCAUGACAUUUGCUUAAAAGGUGCAAUUGCAUCACUACCAGAUGGACCUGCGUUGUAUUAGCUAGUUGGUGGGGUAACGGCUCACUAAGGCGACGAUACAUAGCCGACCUGAGAGGGUGAUCGGCCACACUGGGACUGAGACACGGCCCAGACUCCUACGGGAGGCAGCAGUAGGGAAUCUUCGGCAAUGGACGGAAGUCUGACCGAGCAACGCCGCGUGAGUGAAGAAGGGUUUCGGAUCGUAAAGCUCUGUUGUAAGAGAAGAACGAGUGUGAGAGUGGAAAGUUCACACUGUGACGGUAUCUUACCAGAAAGGGACGGCUAACUACGUG
rnacentral:rRNA from 1 species